AUGCAGGAAGUGGAGCAGCAGGAAGACAGGCUUAGUAAGCUGCCGGAUGAUAUUCUUCUGUCCGUUCUAGAUCGUCUCGACGUACGAGGCGCCGCAAGAAGCAGCAUCUUAAGCAGACGGUGGAGGCAUCUCCCUCUCGCGAUCAGUCGCAUCACCUUAGACGUUAAGCGCCACAAGCUUAAAGACGACGGCUCCAAGUCCGCUCUGUCCAAGAAGGCUCGGACCAACCUGUCCGUGGCAGAAGCAGCAAGGAGCCUGUUGGCACGCAGGGACCAGCGGCAGGCCGUCCGCGUCCUCUACCUGCGAUUCUACCUGGGAGACGAGACCAUGGGCAUCGUCCGCGCCGUCGACGACGCCAUGGCGCGCGGCUGCAGCAUCGGCAAGGCGACAUUCGUGAUCCUGGGCGAGAAGAUCGACACCCGGUGCACGGACGAGGACCUCGCCGGCCACGCUGCGCGCUUCCUGUCCUGCCUGGACGCAUGCCCCCGCGCGUUCGCCGGCCUCACGACGCUGCACGUGGAGAGCGUUAAGCUGGGGCAGCCGGACAUCAACAACCUGCUCGGCACCUGCGGCAGGCUGAAAAGCCUCUCUCUGCUCAACUGCGAUUCAGGCCGCGACACGGCCCUGGUCGUCCAACACCCGCGGAUCGCGGUGCUGAAGCUCGUGACCUGUGGCACCAUCCAACUGAGGUGGCUCCCGGAGCUGGUGAAGCUGACCUGUGAGUGCUGGCUUCCUUCACGAGAUCCACUCUUGUUUGGCCACGUCCCGCGGUUUCGGACUCUAGUACUCGCUACUAACUGCACCAGUGACUACAAGAUACUAAGGUUGAGCGAAUUACUUGACGAGAAUGCUACCGUCCGUGAACUGUGGAUGGGCUUCGACUCCGAGAGGCUCUGGAUUCAGCCGGAGGGCCCGAGGCAACUGGCUCCUCGACUAAGCAACUUGAGGAUUCUGAAUCUCCAGAAGAUUCCUGAAGAAUGCGGCAUCACGUGGACAUUCUUCCUGCUAGAGGCCGCACCUCUAUUGGAGGAGCUCGACGAUUGA
rnacentral:rRNA from 1 species